rnacentral:misc_RNA from 1 species
GUGAAGGAAAUGAUGAUUAUGUUGAUAUUAGUAGUGGGAAAGCAGCAGCCAAAGGGUCGGGUACUACGGCGAGAGGAAGGAGGUUGUUGAAGGUUAGGGAGGAGAAGAGGAAACGGGAAUAUGAACGUCUUCACAAUUACCCUGCUUGGGCAAAAGUGUUGGAAGAUGCCUGUAAACAUGAUACAGAGCUUCGUGCUGUGCUUGGUGAUAGCAUUGGAAAUCCAGAGCUUAUGAGGAAAAAGGUCGAAGAGAGAGUUCGAACAAAGGGCCGAAAUUUUCAGAAGUCUAAAACAGGAUCAGUUCUUGCAUUCAAAGUCAGCUUUAGAGAUUUUAAUCCUCUUGAUUCAUACAUAUGGUUUGAACUCUAUGGCUCACCAUCUGAUCGAGACGUUAACAUUUUCGGUAGUGUUAUCCAGGC